rnacentral:ncRNA from 2 species
AUAUAUAAUAAUAACAAAUCCUAUAUAUGUUUCAAAUAUGGUGAAACGUCUCUACAAGUUACCGUAAAUAACUUACUAUGGGCUUAUUUUAAAGUUGA